rnacentral:rRNA from 1 species
AUUGAACGCUGGCGGCAGGCUUAACACAUGCAAGUCGAACGGUAACAUAAAGAAGCUUGCUUCUUUGAUGACGAGUGGCGGACGGGUGAGUAAUGCUUGGGAAUCUAGCUUAUGGAGGGGGAUAACUACGGGAAACUGUAGUAAUACGCGUAGAAUCGAGAGAUGAAAGUGUGGGACCUUCGGGCCACAUGCCAUAGGAUGAGCCCAAGUGGGAUUAGGUAGUUGGUGAGGUAAAGGCUCACCAAGCCGACGAUCUCUAGCUGGUCUGAGAGGAUGACCAGCCACACUGGGACUGAGACACGGCCCAGACUCCUACGGGAGGCAGCAGUGGGGAAUAUUGCGCAAUGGGGGCAACCCUGACGCAGCCAUGCCGCGUGAAUGAAGAAGGCCUUCGGGUUGUAAAGUUCUUUCCGGUAGCGAGGAAGGCAUUUAGUUUAAUAAACUAGGUGAUUGAUUAACUACAGAAGAAG